rnacentral:rRNA from 1 species
UGCAAGUCGAGCGGGGAAGGUAGCUUGCUACCGGACCUAGCGGCGGACGGGUGAGUAAUGCUUAGGAAUCUGCCUAUUAGUGGGGGACAACAUCUCGAAAGGGAUGCUAAUACCGCAUACGUCCUACGGGAGAAAGCAGGGGAUCUUCGGACCUUGCGCUAAUAGAUGAGCCUAAGUCGGAUUAGCUAGUUGGUGGGGUAAAGGCCUACCAAGGCGACGAUCUGUAGCGGGUCUGAGAGGAUGAUCCGCCACACUGGGACUGAGACACGGCCCAGACUCCUACGGGAGGCAGCAGUGGGGAAUAUUGGACAAUGGGCGCAAGCCUGAUCCAGCCAUGCCGCGUGUGUGAAGAAGGCCUUAUGGUUGUAAAGCACUUUAAGCGAGGAGGAGGCUACUUUAGAUAAUACCUAGAGAUAGUGGACGUUACUCGCAGAAUAAGCACCGGCUAACUCUGUGCCAGCAGCCGCGGUAAUACAGAGGGUGCAAGCGUUAAUCGGAUUUACUGGGCGUAAAGCGCGCGUAGGCGGCUAAUUAAGUCAAAUGUGAAAUCCCCGAGCUUAACUUGGGAAUUGCAUUCGAUACUGGUUAGCUAGAGUGUGGGAGAGGAUGGUAGAAUUCCAGGUGUAGCGGUGAAAUGCGUAGAGAUCUGGAGGAAUACCGAUGGCGAAGGCAGCCAUCUGGCCUAACACUGACGCUGAGGUGCGAAAGCAUGGGGAGCAAACAGGAUUAGAUACCCUGGUAGUCCAUGCCGUAAACGAUGUCUACUAGCCGUUGGGGCCUUUGAGGCUUUAGUGGCGCAGCUAACGCGAUAAGUAGACCGCCUGGGGAGUACGGUCGCAAGACUAAAACUCAAAUGAAUUGACGGGGGCCCGCACAAGCGGUGGAGCAUGUGGUUUAAUUCGAUGCAACGCGAAGAACCUUACCUGGCCUUGACAUAGUAAGAACUUUCCAGAGAUGGAUUGGUGCCUUCGGGAACUUACAUACAGGUGCUGCAUGGCUGUCGUCAGC